rnacentral:rRNA from 1 species
AACGAACGCUGGCGGCAUGCCUAACACAUGCAAGUCGAACGAGACCUUCGGGUCUAGUGGCGCACGGGGGCGUAACGCGUGGGAACCUGCCCUUAGGUUCGGAAUAACUCCCCGAAAGGGGUGCUAAUACCGGAUAAUGUCUUCGGACCAAAGAUUUAUCGCCCUUGGAUGGGCCCGCGUUGGAUUAGCUAGUUGGUAGGGUAAAAGCCUACCACGGCGACGAUCCAUAGCUGGUCUGAGAGAAAGAUCAGCCACACUGGGACUGAGACACGGCCCAGACUCUUACGGGAGGCAGCAGUGGGGAAUAUUGGACAAUCGGCGGAAGCCUGAUCCAGCAAUGCCGCGUGAGUGAUGAAGGCCGUAGGGUUGUAAAGCUCUUUUACCCGGGAUGAUAAUGACAGUACCGGGAGAAUAAGCUCCGGCUAACUCCGUG